rnacentral:tRNA from 1 species
GGCGCGGUACCCAAGUGGCCAAGGGGGGGGCCUGCAAAGCCCCUAUUCGUGGGUUCGAUUCCCACCCGCGCCU